rnacentral:rRNA from 1 species
UACGGGGGGGCAAGCGUUGUUCGGAAUUACUGGGCGUAAAGGGCUCGUAGGCGGCCAACUAAGUCAGACGUGAAAUCCCUCGGCUUAACCGGGGAACUGCGUCUGAUACUGGAUGGCUUGAGUUUGGGAGAGGGAUGCGGAAUUCCAGGUGUAGCGGUGAAAUGCGUAGAUAUCUGGAGGAACACCGGUGGCGAAGGCGGCAUCCUGGACCAACACUGACGCUGAGUGAGCGAAAGCCAGGGGA